UACGGGGGGGGUAAGCGUUGUUCGGAAUUACUGGGCGUAAAGCGCGUGUAGGCGGUUGUCCAAGUUGGAUGUGAAAGCCUUGAGCUUAACUCAAGAAAUGCAUUCAGGACUGGAUGACUAGAGUCCGGAAGAGGUUAGUGGAAUUCCCAGUGUAGAGGUGAAAUUCGUAGAUAUUGGGAAGAACACCAGUGGCGAAGGCGGCUAACUGGUCCGGUACUGACGCUGAGGUGCGAAAGCGUGGGGAGCAAACAGG
rnacentral:rRNA from 1 species